GUGAACAGGGCUGGAGAAUGAAGUUCCCUAUCCAGAAAGGGCAGUAAGUGAUACUGAAAAUGUCCUCAACACUGCCCUGCCAAUGUACCUCAGGCAUGACCUGAAGGGGGCUACCUCUGGGGUGCAUGGGACGCUUUUUGUCUAAGUUCGCUCACUCUAAAAGGCAUUU
rnacentral:sRNA from 1 species